rnacentral:rRNA from 1 species
AAAUUGAAGAGUUUGAUCAUGGCUCAGAUUGAACGCUGGCGGCAGGCCUAACACAUGCAAGUCGAACGGUAACAGGAAACAGCUUGCUGUUUCGCUGACGAGUGGCGGACGGGUGAGUAAUGUCUGGGAAACUGCCUGAUGGAGGGGGAUAACUACUGGAAACGGUAGCUAAUACCGCAUAAUGUCGCAAGACUAAAGAGGGGGACCUUCGGGCCUCUUGCCAUCGGAUGUGCCCAGAUGGGAUUAGCUAGUAGG